GUCAAAAAGAGGUUUCUUCAAUAUUCAAAACUCAAGUACAUUGCUCAACCAAAUAAUACAUGCAAAGAAACAAAAUGGAUGGAAAUUACAACAAAACAUGAGGUUAAAUGCGCCUUCCAAAACUCAUUUCUGUCAUUGCUUUCUCGGUCUAUACAAAACUACAUAAUCCUGAAAGGCACUAUUAAGCAGAUGUUGAGAAAACAGCAAUUUGGACGUAAUUUUGAGCCUAAAAGUCACUUGGCUGCUUCUAGGUCUGCAAGGGUGACUGCUGGUGAAUCUUGAUAACCAGUAAUGCCCAUUAUUCUUAUCCGAGUAAUUGGCUGUCUGUGACCAAUAUUCCUUCUGUAGUUCUUUUUCUUCUUAUACUUGAAGACGAUAACCUUCUUAUCUUUCAACUGCUCUUCAACAACAGCGUGGACUGUUGCAUUUGGCACCACUGGUUUUCCAACCCAAGUACUUGUUUUUGUUCCCACAAGUAACACCUUGUUUAGGAUAAUUUUGUCAUUGACAUUUGCACCUUUAAGCCUCUGGGUGUAGAUAUACCGCCCAGGAAAAACAAUAUAUUGCCGAGAUCCAACCAUAACAACAGCAAAGAUUUCUUCCCGUUUUGGUUCCAAGCUAGUGGCUUCCACAACAGGCUCUUCUUGGUCAGCUUCAACUUCAGCUACUGGAGCUUCAGAUUCUGAGUAUUUGGGUACAAAAGAGGAUAAAGAAUUGGGCUUGGAGAAACGGAGAUUGAGAGAGGAAAAUGAGUGAGAUAGAAAAGUAACAUUGGAAUUUGCUUUGGGAACAGAAAGGGUGUUAAGAAAAGUUUGGUUCUUGGAAAGUGCUGUUGAGGGGGAAGAUGUAGAACACAGGGAAAGGGUUGCCAUUGUU
rnacentral:misc_RNA from 1 species